GUAUUCUUUGUAGGAUAAGGAAGAAGGGCCUGUCAAGGUGGUCAGGAAUGUUUGUGAUCUACGUAUUUUGGAAACAAAUGUAAUUAGAAAACACACGCUUUAGUUCUUCAAUUUUAAGAUCAGUGGUAAUGUUGAAACUAUAUGUGUCUCAGAUACGAUUAUGGACACUUGAUCCUGAGUUUUAUUUUUGGGGCCGUUUGUAUUAAGACAUAUCCAUCUGAUGGAAAUAAGCUUAUUUGCACAUUUGCUGCAUCUGCUCCCAGCUGUAAGCAGUGCAUGCGGCUUCUGCAACGUGCUGUGUCCGUCUGCAGUCAUGAGGUCUCUUAAGCUCAUCUCAGGCAGUCAGCAGCAAGACCCUGGGUUGUCAGCCAUCAGGAUGUCAGUGAAAAGCUAUGCUGUGAACUUAGUCUUCGUUGAGAUGACCAAAAAAAUCAGGGAAAACCACCACCUGAAACUAUCCUCAUGGUGGAAGCUGUGAAUGAGUUUCUGAGAAUGAAACUGGACAUUAAAAAUUUACAUAUUGACACACACAUAUGUAUAUUUUAAGGUAUUAGCUAUGCCAUGAGUGGA
rnacentral:lncRNA from 1 species